GACGAACGCUGGCGGCGUGCCUAACACAUGCAAGUCGAGCGAGGAACUUCGGUUCCUAGCGGCGGACGGGUGAGUAACACGUGGGUAACCUGGCUCAUAGAGGGGGAUAGCCUUCCGAAAGGGAGAUUAAUACCGCAUAAGAAGUAAGAAUCGCAUGGUUCAAGCUUUAAAGGAGUAAUCCGCUAUGAGAUGGGCCCGCGGCGCAUUAGCUAGUUGGUGAGGUAACGGCUCACCAAGGCGACGAUGCGUAGCCGACCUGAGAGGGUGAUCGGCCACAUUGGAACUGAGACACGGUCCAGACUCCUACGGGAGGCAGCAGUGGGGAAUAUUGCACAAUGGGCGAAAGCCUGAUGCAGCAACGCCGCGUGAGUGAUGACGGCCUUCGGGUUGUAAAGCUCUGUCUUUGGGGACGAUAAUGACGGUACCCGCAGAAGAAGCCCCGGCUAACUUCGUGCCAGCCGCCGCCGUAAAAC
rnacentral:rRNA from 1 species